rnacentral:rRNA from 1 species
GUGCCAGCAGCCGCGGUAAGACGAACCGUCCAAACGUUAUUCGGUAUCACUGGGCUUAAAGCGUGCGUAGGCGGCCUAGUAGGUGAGGUGUGAAAUCCCACGGCUCAACCGUGGAACUGCGCUUCAAACCACUAGGCUCGAGGAUGGCAGGGGUGAUGGGAACUGAUGGUGGAGCGGUGAAAUGCGUUGAUAUCAUCAGGAACACCGGUGGCGAAGGCGCAUCACUGGGCCAUUUCUGACGCUGAGGCACGAAAGCUAGGGUAGCGAACGGGAUUAGAUACCCUCGUAGUCC